CCAUCACUGAGGACAACCAAUAGCGACGUUGGAAGGCGGGGCCAAAAUAACCGUUGGCGAAGACCCCCUAGCUCGUGCUGGGCCCGCCAGCCUUAACACUGUGGGUGACACAAUGGAUUUACCUGGCGGCUUCGCGGACGGUUCCUCCCGGUGACGAGGGCAGAUGGCGUCGCCCUUUCCUACGAUCUCAACAGAUGGCCUGUGAUGGAAAAGUCCAGUACUGACCAGCCUAGGGGCCUGUGAUGAGAAGAGAGUGAAACCAGAACCAAGGGUGCAGAACCACCAGACAAUAGCAGGCGGCAUCGAGGUGGACUGGACUGGACUGGACUGGACUGGACUGUCGAAAGCAACUUUGGGAAUGCAGGAAUCGUGGGAGUGCUGCUCAGGUGUCUCUUUUCCUAGAAUGAGAGAGAACGUCGAUCAGAAGGGCCAGCAAGUUGCCUCUGGAGUGACUCAAGCAUCCUCUUAGAAAUCACCCCUCUUUAAUCCUGCUGUGAAGCUAGAGGCAUCCCAGGAGCCCAGGCUUUGCUUAACCUCAGCCACCUUCUGUUCGGAUGGACUGGGAUGGCUCAGCAGCCAGCACCUGGAAGGACUUUCUAGGGCGUGUGCACUAUGCAGGCCAGAGGGUGCCUGUCCACAGGCAGUGCCAGAGGUCUCCACUCUAUGCUUUUCCAGGUCAACCACUUGUGUUCUGUGUGGGGAGUAAUUCACUGACAUUCAGGUGAAGGCAUUUGAGAAACUGAGAGGUGGGGAAGUGUGCUGACGAAAAAUGCACUAUUGUAAAAUGUUUUCAAAGAGCACUAAGCUGCCUUGUCACUUAGCAUUACAAGGCAUAUACCCAAAGAGUUUUUCCUCUUCCUGGGUUAGGAAUCGUAAUGUACCGUAAUUUCUUGGUGUGAAAUAUUAUACCUCAAACUCCCAUUUUC